rnacentral:rRNA from 1 species
GAGGAAAGCUGGCGGCGUGCUUAACACAUGCGAGUCGAACGGAAAGGCCCUGCUUUUGUGGGGUGCUCGAGUGGCGAACGGGUGAGUAACACGUGAGUAACCUGCCCUUGACUUUGGGAUAACUUCAGGAAACUGGGGCUAAUACCGGAUAGGAGCUCCUGCUGCAUGGUGGGGGUUGGAAAGUUUCGGCGGUUGGGGAUGGACUCGCGGCUUAUCAGCUUGUUGGUGGGGUAGUGGCUUACCAAGGCUUUGACGGGUAGCCGGCCUGAGAGGGUGACCGGCCACAUUGGGACUGAGAUACGGCCCAGACUCCUACGGGAGGCAGCAGUGGGGAAUAUUGCACAAUGGGCGGAAGCCUGAUGCAGCAACGCCGCGUGCGGGAUGACGGCCUUCGGGUUGUAAACCGCUUUCGCCUGUGACGAAGCGUGAGUGACGGUAAUGGGUAAAGAAGCACCGGCUAACUACGUG